GUGGGGAAUAUUGGACAAUGGGCGAAAGCCUGAUCCAGCCAUGCCGCGUGUGUGAAGAAGGCCUUUUGGUUGUAAAGCACUUUAAGCGAGGAGGAGGCUACCGAGAUUAAUACUCUAGGAUAGUGGACGUUACUCGCAGAAUAAGCACCGGCUAACUCUGUGCCAGCAGCCGCGGUAAUACAGAGGGUGCAAGCGUUAAUCGGAUUUACUGGGCGUAAAGCGCGCGUAGGUGGCCAAUUAAGUCAAAUGUGAAAUCCCCGAGCUUAACUUGGGAAUUGCAUUCGAUACUGGUUGGCUAGAGUAUGGGAGAGGAUGGUAGAAUUCCAGGUGUAGCGGUGAAAUGCGUAGAGAUCUGGAGGAAUACCGAUGGCGAAGGCAGCCAUCUGGCCUAAUACUGACACUGAGGUGCGAAAGCAUGGGGAGCAAACAGGAUUAGAAACCCUGGUAGUCC
rnacentral:rRNA from 1 species